rnacentral:rRNA from 1 species
GGGAAUAAACGUUCCGAAAGGAAACGCUAAUACCGCAUACGUCCUACGGGAGAAAGCAGGGGACCUUCGGGCCUCGCGCUAUCAGAUGAGCCUAGGUCGGAUUAGCUAGUUGGUGAGGUAAUGGCUCACCAAGGCGACGAUCCGUAACUGGUCUGAGAGGAUGAUCAGUCACACUGGAACUGAGACACGGUCCAGACUCCUACGGGAGGCAGCAGUGGGGAAUAUUGGACAAUGGGCGAAAGCCUGAUCCAGCCAUGCCGCGUGUGUGAAGAAGGUCUUCGGAUUGUAAAGCACUUUAAGUUGGGAGGAAGGGCAGUAAGUUAAUACCUUGCUGUUUUGACGUUACCAACAGAAUAAGCACCGGCUAACUUCGUGCCAGCAGCCGCGGUAAUACGAAGGGUGCAAGCGUUAAUCGGAAUUACUGGGCGUAAAGCGCGCGUAGGUGGUUUUGUAAGUUGGAGGUGAAAUCCCCGGGCUCAACCUGGGAACUGCCUCCAAAACUGCAUGACUAGAGUACGGUAGAGGGUAGUGGAAUUUCCUGUGUAGCGGUGAAAUGCGUAGAUAUAGGAAGGAACACCAGUGGCGAAGGCGACUACCUGGACUGAUACUGACACUGAGGUGCGAAAGCG